UGGGCGGAGGUCUUUCUACCGGUCAAGUAUCAUUGCCUUGUCACAGGUCAUUCACCAGUGGCUCCAGUCUGGUUUGGGGGUCUACCCUUUCUCAUCCUGGCCUGCCAGCCAAGUAAAAAGAGAAAUAACUACAGACCUCUGCAACUGCUGAUACCGGUUCAGGAUGAAUUGCAGAUGCUGUGAGAGAGUCAGUGGUUCAACCAGCCAACAAACAGGAAAAGCUCAAGUCGGAGUCUUAACUGUCAGCAACUCUACCCAAAAAAAUAAGGCUACUGUUAUUGCCCACUAAGAAAAACAGUGGUCUGGUAUGAAGGUUAUCUGUGUUUUGGAACAUGUUCUUAAUAUUCAUUAAAUAAUAAAAAAAAGUUUGACACUUUA